rnacentral:rRNA from 1 species
UUAGAUACCCUAUUAUACUAAUAAAAACCUAAAUUAUUAAUAGAUAUAUGCUUAAAACUUGAAGAAUUUGGCGGUGGCUUAGUCUUGUUAGAGGAACCUGUUUUUGAAUCGAUACACCACGCAUAAUCUUACUCAUUUUAUUAGUUUGUAUACCGUCAUUAUCAGAUAAUCUUUAAAGAGUGAAAUAUUAAGGCUUAAUAAAGGUAUAAAUUAAAUUAGAUCAAGGUGCAGCUUAUAAAUGAGUUAAAAUGGGUUACAAUAAAAUUUAUUUAUUAUGGAGUAAUAUUGAGAAAAGUCAAAUUAUAAAGGUGGAUUUAAUUGUAAUAAAAGUUUAAUAAGCUAAAAAGAUAUAAGCUCUAAGCUAUGUACAUAUCGCCCGUCGCU